rnacentral:rRNA from 1 species
UACGAAGGGGGCUAGCGUUGUUCGGAAUCACUGGGCAUAAAGGGCGCGUAGGCGGCUGUUCAAGUCGGGGGUGAAAGCCUGUGGCUCAACCACAGAAUUGCCUUCGAUACUGGACGGCUCGAGACCGGAAGAGGUCAGUGGAACUGCGAGUGUAGAGGUGAAAUUCGUAGAUAUUCGCAAGAGCACCAGUGGCGAAGGCGGCUGACUGGUCCGGUUCUGACGCUGAGGCGCGAAAGCGUGGGGAGCAAACAGGG